UCCAUCAGCGACUCACCAUGUUCACAGCCUUGCAAUCCAGGUAGCAGAGCUCCUCCGCCUGCCAAUCAUAACCCAUCUCCCCCCCUGCUUCCACUGAAAAAUGUUGCCCGAAGGGCAUCAGAGGGGUCUGAUUCGAUUGCAGGGUAAAGCUAAAGUGGGAAAGUCUCUCCUAUGCAUUCCUGAGUGAGCCCAUCCCCAUCCCCGCAGCCCGUCCCUAGGUGACCCUUGAAGUGGCUGGUACGGAGUGGUCCUAGUGCCCAAGCAUGUCUGAGCUCCAGAGUUUUGCUGCUGGAACACAGGAUUUGAAACCACAACCGGCCUCACCACUUCACAAUCCCAUUGUGUGUACAGUGGGACAAACUCACCGGUUCUCAUACGCCUCGUCUGCUUCCAAGUAAUUUCUCCUUCUCCGAGAAUUAGAGGAUUUUUGAGAAGCUGCAGGAAAAAGCAGAUGUGUUUAUUCAGCCACCUGGCAAAGUGCACAGGCAGAGCCAGCUAUGGGGCAGGGCAGGCAUGCCAGAGCAGCUGGCCAUCUGGCAGGGACAGUGCAUCAGUCCUUACAGGCCAGUGACUACAUACUCCUAGGGCAAUAUCCAGAGACCUCAACGAACACACCAAACCGCCCAGGCAGCAGCACGUCUGAGCGCUAGCGAGAUGCGGCGUCUGAGCGGCAGACAUUGGCAGAGUUCAUCUCGUCAACGGGACGGUCCCUCAUGAGCCCCAGACUCUCCAUGUUCCUGCACGUGUCUGCUGUAAAUCAAACACGGGAAACGCUGAAUCGGGGGCCUGGUGUCAGGGAGGGUGUUAGUGGCUUUAAAGUCACUCCCCGCAUCGUCACCUUCCAGCAUGGCUUUAAGUCUUGUCUCCCCUGUCCUGGGGCUUUGCGCCCUUGGGAGACAGAGCGGGGCAGGCUGCAUACUGGCUGCGCACACACAUCUUUCAUCAGCAUUCAUGUUCCAGUUUGGAGCAGAGCUAGGCCUGAAAUCUGGAUCCAAAUGUACUCAAGGAUCAGGGUUUGGUUCUGGCCCGUGGAAGAGAUGAGCCAGCUAUGAUAUACAGAUCCAGAUCUGAACCUCCCCAGCGACUGGGGCUGCUCAGAUCUGGGGUUCUACUAUGGGCCCAUCUCUACUUUAGAUAAAUCCAGGGACCAGCAACCCUCUUCUACCUCAAACCCUAAACCUUCACCUCCGUCUAACCCCAAACCCACGCACAACUUGUAGUGAAGUGCAGAGAAGUGGAGUGAGCCAACACCUCUCUAGUCACUUCUGUCCCUGAACCUGCUGUUUCCAGGUGGCCAAGGAAACACAUGCCAGAGUGUCAUCCCAAGGGCUGCUCCCCCAUAUUGCCAGCCUCAGUGAGAGUGGGACAGCACGGAUACCUGCCAAAUACACACCGAGAGCUUUCACCACUGCUCCAAACUCCUCCUCUCUGAGGUGUGGACAGGGUUGUUAUGCCCCUAGAGAACACGCUGCCUUUCGGAAGCCAGGGCUGAAAUACUCACAGGUACUA